rnacentral:misc_RNA from 1 species
GCGAAGGGCUAUCAAACUAGUUGAUGUUUACAUCCAUCGACCAAUACUUAGAAACUGAAGUCUGAUUCUGAUUCCCAUUUCCCUUAAUCAUUAAUCAAUAGGCUAAUCAGAAAACGGAAACGGAGCGAAGCCAAUCUCUGGUUGACAAAAGUCCUUUCUCGAUACCAGAUUCGGAAUCGGUAGUGAGGGGGGGUAACCUGGCGUUGUUAGGAUAAGAAAGAGGCCAAUCCUGAGAAACUGAAGUUCCGUAUACGGGGUUAAGACUGCCUGGCUUUAAAAAACCAGCUUCUUAAAAGCCUGGAAAUGCGUCAUAUGGACAAAACGCACGUUUGGCACUCAAAAUAAUCCCAUGCGAGGGAUGUCCAACAUGCCUUAACGGCUCCUUCUGCAGCCAAUCCGUUCAAGUAAUUGCCCUAUUCUAUUAGAAGGGGUCUACAGCUCAGCUUUCCCAGAAGACCUACUAGUAUACUACAGCUUUCCCAGAGGUAUAUCUUUGUUCUUAGGAGAAAGAUUCCAGGAGUCGGACCUAUAAUCUAAGACUAGCCGGAUUCGGCUAACAUUCCUAACUUCUUCUUCUUCAGCUACUUCUGCUAUACAAGCCCUCUCCUUUCUUUCUAAACGGAAAGGACUUUGACGACUUUUUCGACACCAGAUGACCCCCACACCGCCUUUCUAUAGCUGUAGGCUUCUUCAGAGGCCUCUCCAACGAAAGAAAGUUUUCACUCCUCAAUGCGCUAUCUAGAUAAGGUGUCCAACUGGCCAGAAGCCAUCCUUCUUUGCUUUGCCCGAUCCAGCUUCAAGCGCGAAGGCCCUACCUAUUGGCUAGGCCCAUAAUCCUCUUCGGCAACCUGCCUGGGUCGGCUGACGAGCGGAGCCUGAGGGAGUAGCUGACUUCCUUUCCUAAAGAAAAGCCUGAUUCAUCUUCUGAUUCUUAGCCCAAUGCUAAUCCCUUGCGAAGUUUAGCUGCUUCUCCUUUUCCUUUCUUCUUAUCAAUCUUCUUCUUAUGUCUAUCUUUCUUUCCUUUCUUCUUCUUAUCAAUCUUAUUAUUUUUCUUCUCAAAUAUAUAUAAUUUUUGUGUCGCAUUUUAGAUUUAAUGUAAGUAAUUAUUUAUUUGUUUUAAUAUUUUUUU